AGCGCUGAGGAUCAGCGGUGCCCCGAAAUUGCUUUCUUUCCAAAUCUGCCUAAUCCCCGCAUUCCUUUGAUUUCGCCGCCGCCGGACAGGACCACAAGCCGCCGAUGGAGGUGGUAUCGAUGCAGCCUCCUCUCCUCAGGGCUUCGAGACCAUUCGCGUCACCGUAAUAGUUCCUGGCAUCUGCAGCCACUACCGGUGAUGGGUUUGGUCGCUCCAUGGGAUCCUUUUUUUCCAAUGUUGUUCUGACGGAGAUUUCCGUGAUGGGCUCAAGCAGCCGCAGCUCCGACCUAAACCUGGGCAAAUCUGGGCGCAGGAAGAAGUCACCACUGGGAUGGAGAUUUAUUCUUAUACUAACAAUGAUGAUCACGCCUGUGAUUCGCUCAGCGUUACAACAAGCAAACUGGCGUACAAUAUGCAUCUCUAGGAUCACCACUGAAAAACAGCACUGAAAAACAAUCCACAUCAUUCUGGUCACCACAUUAUUAUGUUGGGAACUUAGAACUACCUUUCUCUGAACGUCAUUUACCAUAUAUAGCCAUGGGAAUUAUUGUAAAUAUGCAUCUCUAGGAUCUUUUGCCGCCCAUCUAGUAAAUUAAAUGUAUUACUAUGAGCUGUAUGGAUGACGAGCAAGGAAGCAAUAUGUUUUUCAUGAAACUUGAUUUAUAGUCAAAACAACAGUUUAACGUAUUUCAUGCUAUGCGUACAAUAAUCGAUUAAUCUUUUAGAGUUUCCAUGUUUCAA